rnacentral:rRNA from 1 species
GACGAACGCUGGCGGCGUGCCUAAUACAUGCAAGUAGAACGCUGAAGGAGGAGCUUGCUUCUCUGGAUGAGUUGCGCACGGGUGAGUAACGCGUAGGUAACCUGCCUGGUAGCGGGGGAUAACUAUUGGAAACGAUAGCUAAUACCGCAUAAGAGUAGAUGUUGCAUGACAUUUGCUUAAAAGGUGCAAUUGCAUCACUACCAGAUGGACCUGCGUUGUAUUAGCUAGUUGGUGAGGUAACGGCUCACCAAGGCAACGAUACAUAGCCGACCUGAGAGGGUGAUCGGCCACACUGGGACUGAGACACGGCCCAGACUCCUAUGGGAGGCAGCAGUAGGGAAUCUUCGGCAAUGGACGGAAGUCUGACCGAGCAACGCCGCGUGAGUGAAGAAGGUUUUCGGAUCGUAAAGCUCUGUUGUAAGAGAAGAACGAGUGUGAGAGUGGAAAGUUCACACUGGAC